GACGAACGCUGGCGGCGUGCUUAACACAUGCAAGUCGAACGGAAAGGCCCUGCUUUUGUGGGGUGCUCGAGUGGCGAACGGGUGAGUAACACGUGAGUAACCUGCCCUUGACUUUGGGAUAACUUCAGGAAACUGGGGCUAAUACCGGAUAGGAGCUCCUGCUGCAUGGUGGGGGUUGGAAAGUUUCGGCGGUUGGGGAUGGACUCGCGGCUUAUCAGCUUGUUGGUGGGGUAGUGGCUUACCAAGGCUUUGACGGGUAGCCGGCCUGAGAGGGUGACCGGCCACAUUGGGACUGGGGUACGGCCCAGGCUCCUACGGGAGGCAACAGGGGGGAAUAUUGCACAAUGGGCGGGAGCCUGAAGCAGCAACGCCGCGGGGGGGAAGACGGCCUUCGGGUUGGAAACCGCUUUCGCCUGGGACGGAGCGUGAGGGACGGUAAUGGGUAAAGGAGCACCGGCUAACUACGGG
rnacentral:rRNA from 1 species